AGGAAUGGCCACUACAGAAAUCUAUUUCCGGUUUAAGAUACGGCCAGGUGCGCCUAGAUCCAGACUAUCACCUCGAACGAUCACAGGUUAGACCAUGCCACCAGCACCAAAAGAUUUUAAGCCGGGGGUUCCUGAUUGGAGUACAGUACAUGAACCUACAGGGACUCUGUUCCCUCCCAUAAAGGACAAAUCAGAAUGGAGCCAGUUCCAGUUCAACACUGAUCAAGUCAAUAAGUUCUGGGAGGAUGGAUUUCUCCUCAACAUCCCCCUGUUAUCAGAACAGGACUGUGACAGGAUUCUCGCUGACUAUCGCUACUUCACGGGAGAAAAUAAACACGAUGGAAUGGAUAUGUUGUAUGAAUACCAUAGUAACCAGAGUGGUGAUGCUAACAACGUAUUGAUGCAUUGCCUGGGACACUGGAGAAUGACCAAGCUCUUCCAUGAUCUGGCUUUCCUCCCCCAAGUCAUUGUGCCUGGUUCACAAUUGCUGGUUCAGAACAAGAUGGUGCCACUCCGUUUCUGGCACGACCAGUUGUUCGCGAAGCCAGCCAAGCAUGGGGGUGUGGUUGCCUGGCACCAAGACUUUUCCUAUUGGACCAGGACAACUCCCAUGAUGCACCUAACAGUCCAUAUUGCACUGGACGAUCAAACAGAGGAGAACGGAGGUCUCUACUAUAUCCCGGGAUCUCACAGAUGGACAAGAAAUGGAAAACCUCUUCCUGUGACUGACUUCAAUUUUGCAGACAUGGAAUCUAUACAGACUAUCUUGACGGAGGAGGAAAAACAGCAGUUUAAACCCGUGUGUGGGAAACUCCGCAAAGGUCACGCGAGCUUCCACCACCCUCUGGCUGUACAUGGUUCUUACGGAAACAGGUAACGCAAGUCACAUAAUAGUUAUAGAUACUCCUCAAAGGUCACGCGAGCUUCCACCACCCUCUGGCUGUACAUGGUUCUUACGGAAACAGGUAACGCAAGUCACAUAAUAGUUAUAGAUACUCCGCAAAGGUCACGCGAGCUUCCACCACCCUCUGGCUGUACAUGGUUCUUACGGAAACAGGUAACACAAGUCACAUAAUAGUUAUAGAUACUCCUCAAAGGUCACGCGAGCUUCCACCACCCUCUGGCUGUACAUGGUUCUUACGGAAACAGGUAACGCAAGUCACAUAAUAGUUAUAGAUACUCCGCAAAGGUCACGCGAGCUUCCACCACCCUCUGGCUGUACAUGGUUCUUACGGAAACAGGUAACACAAGUCACAUAAUAGUUAUAGAUACUCCUCAAAGGUCACGCGAGCUUCCACCACCCUCUGGCUGUACAUGGUUCUUACGGAAACAGGUAACGCAAGUCACAUAAUAGUUAUAGAUACUCCGCAAAGGUCACGCGAGCUUCCACCACCCUCUGGCUGUACAUGGUUCUUACGGAAACAGGUAACGCAAGUCACAUAAUAGUUAUAGAUACUCCGCAAAGGUCACGCGAGCUUCCACCACCCUCUGGCUGUACAUGGUUCUUAUGGAAACAGGUCAGAGGUUCCGAGGCGAGCUGCCGUACUGAAUUACUUUGGAGACGGAGUGAAAUCCAGC
rnacentral:misc_RNA from 1 species